rnacentral:lncRNA from 1 species
AAUUGUAACACAUUAAAGUAAUAAUCAUUUUCAGUACAACUAUAUAAAAGAAGAUGUGGUAUGAUUGCCAAUGAGACAACUAUCCACAAAAGACCAAAAUGACACAGACAUUAACAACUAUAGGUCACCGUACGUCCUUCAACAAUAUGCAAAGCCCAUACGCAUAGUGAGCUAUAAAAGGCCGAUAAGAUAAUGCAAAAUUUCAAAACGAGAAAACUACGUCCUAAUUUAUGAACAAAAAAAAAAAAAAAAAAAAAGGAACAAAAAAACAAAUAUGUAACACAUAAACAAACGACAACCACUGGAUUACAGGCUCCUGACUUGGGACAGGCAAUACAUAAAUAAUAUUAAUGUGGCGGGG